UACCUCUCAGAGUUGCACCUGGAGUGUUUCCAGUACUCUACCAGUCAUGACUACAGAAGGGAGAGUCAAGCAGAGGCCUAUCCAUUCCAUUCCUAGCUUGAGCAGUGGCCAGUGAGUGGAAGGCAAUCUGCUACAAGU